UUACCUUGUAGCUGAAAGUAUUACAAUUACAAAUAGUAGUAGUUAAAAGAAAUAAUUAAGUCAGUAUCCAUUACGUAUUGAUUAUAAGAUAAACAAGUAAAAAAAGAGAAGGAAAUAAUCAAACCGAAGCUGACCCUUUGCUCUGGUGGUCGUUUAUUUGCCCCAGACAGUAGACGUAUUGUAGAUUCUAAGAGUAGAUUUGCCAAUCUUUUUUGCUGUUUUCUUUUUUAAUGACAAAAAAAAAUACUUGAACUUGUGAUGAAAAAAAGGAAAAAAAUAUACAAAAAAAGAAACAUCAAGAAAACAAACAAACAGAAAAAAAAAUCAUCGUCUGUCUAAAUGGCCGCUCGCGCUAGAAAUAUGUAUUGGAUGGAUUAUUACCGCUCAUCCCAGUGUCUUCAACAUGCCACAUGUAAUGAACGAGAACAAGAUAACGCAAGUCAUCUCAGUUUCUUCACUCUGCCAUCUGACAGCUAUUAUGUCUAACUGUGUAAAAAGGAACCCGGGAAGAGAGACGGAAAAAGAAACGACAAAAAAAAAAAGGAACGAACUUAAAGGAGUGUCUAAAGUCUGUACUUGACAGGGUGCAGGCUUCCCAUAAGCCUUUUUGUUCAAGCGACAAUCCACUGUAAAGACCAAGCUACUGGAUAUGAUGUGGACUCUCUUCUUUUCUUUACUCUUUUUUGUAUUACGACAAGGGAGCACGCUAUCUAGACUGAUCUCACAGUUACUACUGCAGUUAGGGUGUUGUGUGUGUGUGUGUGUGUGUGUGUGUGUGUGUGUGUGUGUGUGUGUGUGUGUGUGUGUGUGUGUGUGUGUGUGUGUGUGUGUGUGUGUGUGUGUGUGUGUGAGGGGUGGAAGAAAGACGUGGUCCUUUAAGAGCGGACUUUGAAAAAUCACGAACGUAUGACGAAGACGACGUGGGAGGCGAUAGCUACAGAAACUGCCAAACGAACCGAAAAGAUAACAACUGCAGUGGCUUUUUUUCUAGGUAAGAAAUAAAAAUGAUUCGAAGUGACACCAUGCUGGUUUGAAGAGACACGGAAUGAUAUGUAGGUCUACCGAAGCCACUGAAAACGUAGCGAAGCACUGGAGUUACUUAAGUGCUUUGCGGAUAUAUACUGAACUUUCUUGGGAAAGGCAAAAAAAGAGGAAGGGAAAAAAAAAACAACAAAAAACAAAUGCACUCACAGCAUUAGCAGCUGAAAGCUUUUAGAUGCCAUUAAGCUUUGUUGUAAUCUGAUGUAAAUGGAACACUACUCAUAUGCUCUCUCUAAUGCCAUCAUAAAUGAUAGAACGAACCUGGGAAAGAACGUACGACAGUCAGUCAACACUCUACCCAAGCCUGUAUUGCACUCAAAGCCAUGAAGAUCUGCAGUAUCUGAUCCCUACUACACACAAUCUGAACAAUUUGCACUAGUUAUCACCUCACUACCUGCCAGUGAUUUUAUUCCAAUGUUCUAAAAAAAAAUUUUGUCUGAAUAAUACACAUUAAUACGCAAAAAAAAAAAGCCUAAAAUUCUUCUCAGUUAUUCAUCCUCCAUUUUUUUUUUCAUGAAAAUUUUUUUUCCAAGAAAGAAGCUGGUUUUAUUACGUGCCAAGAUAUUUUAUCUGAAAGCCUGAUUUCUGUGUAGUUUUUAUUUACCAGCAUUAUAUAAAUUUGUCAAAUGCCCUUUAUCGUUAUUGCUAUCUCAGCAUUUAACAACACCUCUACCUUUUUAUCUACAGACUUUCAUUUCACAAAAAUGACCAUUCAUUCAGGUUUUGUUGCAGCUGUAAAUGUAGGACAUUUGGAAAGCACAUAUAUUACUAAGCACUAGAAUAUUGGUGAAGCACAGUAGAAAAGGCUGCUUUAAUGCCACAAAAUGUUGCCCGACUUUGCUUCUUAUAGGUUGCAUAAAAUUGUCUGGACAAAUGUUUUAAGUCACUAAAUCUUUAUUUAUUGUAUAAAUAACAGAGAUGCAUUAAUACCAAGAUUUGUAUCAGGUAUCGGCUUGAAAAAGUAUUCGUUUACUUACUGACCUAACUCUAGUUUAUUAUAUUCCCACGUUAAUGAAAGGAGAGACAAAAACCCACAGCAAUCCAGAUGUCUUUCAUGAUUAUCAAUCGAAGAAAACACUGUGAAAAUAUAUAAUACCAUGAGUAAUACAAUAAAAUACCUUUAUGGUGUAUAAAUGUUAUCUUUAAUAUAGAUUGCAAGGACAAAGCUUGUCAUAAGGAGAAAGAAUUAAAGUUCAUGCAGAGAUCACUUCAGUUCUGCGAGCACUGAGCACUUCUUUUCCCAUCAUCAAGCUGCAACUCGUAACAAGUUUUUUAUCUGUGCUCUCAGGCUGGAUGAAAUUAACAAAAAUAUUUCUACACAUCUUUAAUUGCUGCAUAUUAAAUAUGUUUAAACAUUUCAGUAUUUGUUAUUUGAAUCAGUGAGUAUCAAAAAAAAGAAAACAUGUACUCAUAUUUGGUCUGAAAUACAUGGUAUUAAUGCAUCCCUGUGAAAAAUAAUGCAACAUAAAAGAAAGACACAUCAAUUUCAAACAGCUAAAAUUUCUCUACUUUUUUUUAUCUGUGUUUGAGGAUGUUAGUUGAGUUAAGACAUAUCUAAAGGUAUUUACAGAAGCUACUGCAAUGGGUACAGUUGAAAAUUUGCAUUGUUCUUUAUUUUGGAUUCCUUUUUUAAUUUAUUUUAUUCUUUUCAAUUUCAAAAACAAAAAAUGCAGAGUUGACAUGACUCACUGCUAAGUGUUUGGGUUAUGCUAACGCUUGCUGUGCUGCAAAUCAGAAGGCUACUGUUACAACAAGACUGGUAUCAAGUGUAGGACAACAACAUCAACAAUGCUAGCUCUAAAUUCCACUAAUUUAGACUAUUAGAGCAUUAUCACAAUAGUCAGUUCCCUCAGACGUCCAUUAGAAAGCCGAGCCUCUUCUGUGUCCGUCGGCUCCUCGGUUCCUCGAACCCGUUAGACAGAUGUUGUCGUUUUGCAUGCCGUUAGGCCUUUUUAUUCUUCUUGCAGAAUCAUGUUGCUGGAGAGAUGAAUGCGGGAUGAGUUAAUCGACCAGAGGAGGGGGUGACCUGCCAGAAACAGAGCUCCUCAUCUUCAUUCCCCCUUGAGGCUUUACUGCUCUACCUAAAAUAGAAGUGAUUGUCAAGCAAAGGAAGCGAAAUGUAAUUGACUGAAAGUAAAGAGAUAAUUAAGGGAACCUGUUGGACAGAAGGGGAAAAAUUAAUGCCUCUCAUUUAAUAGCUGGUUUUGGGGGAAAAAAGUGAGAAAGAGAGAGUGAGAUUUCAUCAUCGUGUUUAAACACGAAAGGUUUUGUUUAAAAGGAAAUGAGAACAAAAGGUGAUGGAGGUGCACGCUAGGCUGAAAGUGGGUGUAGCUGCUUCAACUGAAGUGCCGCAAGUUCGACUUUAGUACUCAGGGCAUCACGUAAAAUGAUGUCACGGCUUGUGGACACUUGCAAACAUCUUACACAUGGGAUGAGACCACUUUUAAAAGAAAUGGUUGUUUUUAAUCUAAGCUUCAGCUUUUCAAAUAGGUCAAAGGAAAUGCUUUUCUUGGGGAAAGAAAUAAAAAAAAGAUGGGGCGAUCAGAGAACGUAUGCACUCAACAAAAUGUUCAACAACAACAAAAAAAAUUUCUAAACGCAAGGUUGUUAUCUCUAAUCUUUAAUUUUAAAAUUAAAACCCAAACCACUAUCAAGGGAAAUGAGUUGUUCUCCAUGAAAUAUUAUCAAAACUGUGUUUGUAAAGUGAAACACGCAAAAAAAUAGGCAGAAAUAUAUAAUCAUACAUAUUGAUUAUAACCUACGUUAUGUUCAGAGAUUAGUGACAUCUGAAUGAACAUCCGUAUAACAGCUGCUGGUUUGUGCCAAGAGGUUGUAUCACCUCAUGUAACAAAUGUUUAAAAGAAAAACUUUGUAAAUAUAUAUUAAAAAAAAAUACAGAAAGAAUAAAGAAAAGAUGAUUGCAUUCGGUCAGGAGUGUCCCUAAGUAUAAGAUAUGUGUCUGUUAACAAUAUAUAAAUACCACAUGUCGGAUGUUUCUAAUAAAGCAAGAUUGAAGGGUGUUUGACAAUAUUUUCAGUUACAUUGCUGAAAGAGUUGCACCAGGUGAAAGGACUAGUACUACACUGCAGUGAAGAUACUGCAGUGUAAGAUGAGGGUUAAAUGCAGUGUCAGUGUGUAUCAAGUGGUUAAAAUGUAAGCAGGGGAAUUGCAAUAGUGUACAAUAUGUGCAUAUGAAUGUCUACGUACACAAAACACAGGCUGCAUUCGCAGGUGUUUGGUCAUAACUUGCAUCGAGACUGAGACCCAACCGACCGUCCUUGUCUCACCUCUAUAGCGUCCUCUCUCUUUAUAUCCUGGUCAACUCCGCAAGCCUGGAAACUGUAAAUACAACAUAGCAUAUUUUUCAAUUCCGUUUCAUUUUUCUAGUCUAUGUGAGAGAGUUCGGUCCAAAAUAUUUCUGAGACAAAUGAAAAUAUAGUAUACAGUAUAUAUCUAUAUUUCAUCAAGGCUGAGAGGGGAAACUAGACACAUUUUUAUUUAUGUUUCAAAUGAAUUUUAUACUGUAUGUAUGGUGACAAAUUCUAUUUGAUCAUCAAUGAUUUGUUUUAGUUAGAAUUAUGUUCCUGAGUAAUGUUUUAUAACAAAUAUCUAAAUAUCUAUUAUUAUUAUUAUUAUUAUUAUUAUUAUUAUUAUUAUUAUUAUUAUUAUUAUUAUUAUUAUUAUUAUUAUACUGCAAGAUUUAAAAUAUAUUCUUUUUUAUGUUCUUCAAAACCUGGGACGAUGUACAAAUUGUAUGAUAAAAUGGAAAUCGUGAAAUCAUAUAAGAAUGUCCAGGAGUGUUCUAUGUUUUGAUUUAUGAUCUUAAAUGCCUUGAACUCUUUAUCCGGCUGGAAUCAUUACUAUUCAUGACGUCACCUCUGUUGUCUGGUCUGCUUUAAUCUGUACUGUUCUGCUGUUCAGAUCUAAUCUCAUCAAAUUCAGGAGGAAAAAAAAUCACAUGUAAACUUUAUAUUUGACUUUUAUAUUUUCCUAGCAGCGGGUGAAGUUCAGAUGUCAGGAGCCCCAGUGUGCAGUCGAACAGCUGCUCUAAAACGUUCGCUUUUGUUAACUGUGUAGAUAACAAACUAGGAGGGAUGUUUUGCCUUAAACCCAGCACAUAUUUUUCCCCAGUGAUGCUACCUACACACUUUGUUCCAGUGUCCAUAACUGGGAUUGUAUUGUCUCUGUGUUUGGGCUUUGCAGAGGCCCUUGGUGUUUUAGCACCACUAUACGGACCAACAGAUAACUUAGUAUUACAGUACAGUUGCCAAAUUGACUCAGAGGAGAACAUGGAAAAUGGGUUUUCCAGAAGAAAUUAACCACUGCAUCAUUGUCCUGCUUCUCAAUCUAUGCCCUGAUUUAUUUUAUUGUUUUUGUGUGUUUAUUAUUUUGUUGCUGUUUUUUUCUAUUUUAUUUUAUUUGGAAAUACAUUAUUUUUAAAUUAAAAACAAAUUUUUUUUUCUUGAAUACAAAAGCUGUAAAAUAGCAUUGGCACGAGCCCGUCUUCUCUACAUAUGGGCUGUUUUUUCCCUCAUUGCUCCUGAACCGUGUAGCUCUAGAUCAUUAUAUUCUCUGCUUAGGCUAAAAAUAAAGCACAGUCCUGUAGACCA